UUUGUUUGUUUUGAAGGUGUGACAAGGAAAAUGAGCUUCUCACCAACAGGCUUCUGUGACUGAGAACUGAGUGUCUCUAAACUCCUAGUUCAGCAUUGUGGUAUGGUGCUUCAUACACCUAGAGCCCAAGUACACGCCCGUCCCAGCAGCCUCAACGUCACCUAUCAGGACCAAGCCUGCCUGCGAAGAAUGCCAGCUGCAACCACACUUUCCAGGAUGGUGCUGUCUAUUCCUGUUGCCAUGGAAAAACCAUUGUGAUCGUGGACCUUUCUAGUCCUCUAGUCCUCUACAACUUGGAUCUGAAUAAACAACUAGUGGCCCAGUCUUCAGCAUUCUGAUGUAGCAGCCUCAAACAGACUGAAAGGGAAGCCUUGAUCGUUGGAAGCACAGUAAUUGCAGUAAUUUCCAUCCUGUGGAACAUAACAAAAACAAGGAAGAAUUGGUUAAAAUGGAACAUUCCUCCCUGCACUUGAUACUUUGUGUAUUAAUCUAGCUUUGUUCUGUCUGCCUCUUUAAAACUCAAGAAUUUCAAAAGCU
rnacentral:lncRNA from 1 species